rnacentral:rRNA from 1 species
CGCGUAGGUGGUUUGUUAAGUUGGAUGUGAAAGCCCCGGACUCAACCUGGGAACUGCAUCCAAAACUGGCAAGCUAGAGUACGGUAGAGGGUGGUGGAAUUUCCUGUGUAGCGGUGAAAUGCGUAGAUAUAGGAAGGAACACCAGUGGCGAAGGCGACCACCUGGACUGAUACUGACACUGAGGUGCGAAAGCGUGGGGAGCAAACA